UGCAGGGGGACAGCCUGCUCCACCAGGGGCCUCUCCACAGGCCGCAGGGGAAUUGUGCUGCGUGCCUGGAGCACCUCCUGCCCUCCUGCCGCGCUCCCCUGGGGGCUGCAGGGUCUCUCACGUUUCUCUCUCCUCUCUCCCAGCUGCUGUGGUGCAGCAAUUUUUUUCCGCCCCCUUCCCUAACUCUGCUCCCCCAGCAGCACAGCCGGCAGCACUCGCGGCCCAGCCGUGGCCCUUUGGGGCAGCCGGAGCCGGCUCUGCUCUGACACCGGGCAGCGGCUGGGCCCGGCUCACAGGGACCCCCCCCCGCAGCCCCCCACUACCAGACCUUGCCAUACAAACCCAAUCCCCCCCCUUGGGCCCGCGGCUCCUGGGGCUGCCCUGUGCCUGGGCACCGGGUGCUGGUGCCCGCCACCAAGAGCAGAAGGGGACGGGGAGGUGGGGAGGUGCUGGCAGACCCGGGAGGUGGCAGGGCUGGCAGGGGGGGAGCUGGCCCGUGCCUGGCCUGGAGAGGAGCAGCCCUGCAGCCCCCCCAGCCCCUCGCUGCUGCCCUCCCGGCCGGUGGGUGGCCGCUCCUGAGCUGGGCGGCCGCAGGGGCCAAGGUCCAGGCGGGGAGCACCCGGCGGUGGCACCGGGCAGCUGAGCCGUGCCCCGCGCAGCGCCAUGAGGCUGCGGCUGCUCUGCGCCCUCGCCGUGGCCCUCCUGGCCGUGGCCGGGGCCGACCCACGGGACUCCAAGAAGGGGAAGACGCUCACGCGGGACAGAGAGGCGGGGACGCGCGGCGGGGGCCGGCGCCGGCCGUGCUCGGGGUGCUUCUCUGUGCUGAGCGAGGAGUCCACGUCCAUGGCCUGGAGCACCGGGGAUGUGGACGAAGGCCCCGCGGGCAGGCGGGAGGCACCGGGCGCCCAUGCGGCGUGGGCGGGAGAGGCACCGGUGACCCAGCGCGGACCCACGCGAGGACGGAGCCGGGGGUCCCGCCGCCCCCUGACCGCACCGCGGGGCCCCGCUGCCCCCCACCAGCCCUGAGGGGAGCUGGGGGGGCCCUGCCGUGUCCCCCCGCUCAGUGGGGCCACCCCAGCACGCUGCUGCCCCUGCACCCCAAAAUUUUCUGCAGGGGUGUCCCCACCCGCUGCGCGGAGCCACCGAAUAAAGGCACCGAGACAGCCCGAG
rnacentral:lncRNA from 1 species